AUUGAACGCUGGCGGCAUGCCUUACACAUGCAAGUCGAACGGUAACAGGUCUUCGGAUGCUGACGAGUGGCGAACGGGUGAGUAAUACAUCGGAACGUGCCCAGACGUGGGGGAUAACGAGGCGAAAGCUUUGCUAAUACCGCAUACGAUCUAAGGAUGAAAGCAGGGGACCGCAAGGCCUUGCGCGUUUGGAGCGGCCGAUGGCAGAUUAGGUAGUUGGUGGGAUAAAAGCUUACCAAGCCGACGAUCUGUAGCUGGUCUGAGAGGACGACCAGCCACACUGGGACUGAGACACGGCCCAGACUCCUACGGGAGGCAGCAGUGGGGAAUUUUGGACAAUGGGCGAAAGCCUGAUCCAGCAAUGCCGCGAGCAGGAUGAAGGCCUUCGGGUUGUAAACUGCUUUUGUACGGAACGAAAAGGCUCUGGCUAAUACCUGGGGCACAUGACGGUACCGUAAGAAUAAGCACCGGCUAACUACGUG
rnacentral:rRNA from 1 species